rnacentral:tRNA from 1 species
GGUUGUAGCUCAGUGGUAGAGCGCUUGUCUCACAUGUGUGAGACCUUGGGUUCAACCCCCAGCACCA